GGUCAAGUUAUUAAGGGUGCAGGGCGGAUGCCUUGGCACUAGGAGCCGAUGAAGGACGUGAUAAGCUGCGAUAAGCUUCGGGGAGUUGCACGUAAACUUUGAUCCGAAGAUUUCCGAAUGAGGAAACUCACUUAGAGUAAUGUCUAAGUAUCAUUAAGUGAAUACAUAGCUUAAUGAGGGGAACUCAGGGAACUGAAACAUCUAAGUACCUGAAGGAAGAGAAAGAAAUUCGAUUCCGUAAGUAGCGGCGAGCGAACGCGGAUUAGCCCAAACCAAUAAAGUUUUCUUUAUUGGGGUUGCGG
rnacentral:rRNA from 1 species